rnacentral:sRNA from 1 species
CCCUAGCCCUGAUGGGAGUGGAAAUCCUCUGGCUCGGGUGGCUAUUUUUGGCGGGACGGAAAGAGCGACCUAAGAAGCUCCUUUGCGGCCCAGCCAAAAAAGCCAACCGAGGCGGAGAUUGUAACGGACAGCAGGUUUAAGC